AGCAGCCGCGGUAAUUCCAGCUCCAAUAGCGUAUAUUAAAGUUGUUGCAGUUAAAAAGCUCGUAGUUGAAUUUCGGGAUCAAAUUGUCGGUCGUGCCUCGGUACGAACUGGUAUUAUUGGUUCCUACCUUCUGAAGAACCGCGAUGUCAUUAAUUUGGUGUCGUGGGGAAUCAGGACUGUUACUUUGAAAAAAUUAGAGUGUUUAAAGCAGGCUUACGCUUGAAUACAUUAGCAUGGAAUAAUGAAAUAGGACGUUUGAUUCUAUUUUGUUGGUUUCUAGGAUUGACGUAAUGAUUAAUAGGGAUAGUUGGGGGCAUUAGUAUUCAAUUGUCAGAGGUGAAAUUCUUGGAUUUAUUGAAGACUAACUACUGCGAAAGCAUUUGCCAAGGAUGUUUUCAUUAAUCAAGAACGAAAGUUGGGGGAUCGAAGACGAUCAGAUACCGUCGUAGUCUUAACCAUAAACUAUGCCGACUAGGGAUCGGAUGAUGUUAAUUUUUAAUGACUCAUUCGGCGCCUUACG
rnacentral:rRNA from 1 species